AAACCGUAGGUAGCGGAGUUGGCGAUGUUAUUACCAAUGACAUCGAGGUUGGUCGCUGCAGCGUUCAGACCGCUGACCGCUUG
rnacentral:tRNA from 1 species